CCCAUCCUCCUCAAUGUCUGCCUGUCUGGGUGUCUUGUCAAUAACUGGCUUAAGCUCUCCUCAGUCCUCACCCAACCUUACCCUCCUCGAUUCCGCCUCUCCGCCCAGCCAGCCAUCCAGCUCCUCAGGUUACACUCCCUCCACCCUCCCGCGGUCACACGAGAGCAUAAUGAGCCGCGGCGAAAAGGAAGCCGAGAAAAUACACGAAAAGGAGACGGACGGAUGGGAAGAUGGGUGGGUGGACGAGGGAGGGAAGAGGAUAUCUGAUAGGGGCUGGGGAAAAAUCGGUAAGGCAUAAAAGAAGGUAGAGAGAAAAGAUGAGCAAAGAGGAUGGGGAGAUAGAAGUAAGGGGGAAUAAUGUAGGUUUUUAGACACUAAGGUAAUGGAAAUAUCAGGCGUGUGUAAAAGUGAAGUUAGAGAAAAAAGAUGGACUGAGAAAAUGGGGGCUGAGACAGUUAAAAGUCGUGAGGGAAUAGCGUAGUUUUUUUUUUUAAGGAUAGGUAUAGGUAAUAGAGAAAAAAGACACACAUUAAAGUGAAACUAGAGGGAAAAGAUGCUGUGCAAGAAUUGAGGGAAAAGGAAGAAGAGAAAUAAAAGUAAUGACGAUAAUAUUAGGUUAAGUUAGGUGAGGUCAGGUCAGGUUAUGAUAGGUUAUGUAGUUCUCUGGGUGCUUCGGUAGGUUAGGUUAGGUUAGGUUAGGUUAGGUUAGGUCAGGUUAUGUUAGGUUAUGUAGUUCUCUGGGUGCUUCGGUAGAUUAGGUUAGGUUAGGUCAGGUUAGGUUAGGUCAGGUCAGGUUAUGUUAGGUUAUGAUGUUCUCUGGGUGCUUCGGUAGUUCAUCAGUUCCUUGGUUUAACUUUCUAUUAACAUAAGUUAUCCAAAGCGUUACUUCAGCAUGAUACACUCGCUUGAAGAAUUUCUUAGCCCAUGAAAAUUUAGGCCUACGAAUCAAAGCCUGCGUCGGAUCCAGCUGACAUCUCUCCCUUGCUCCCUUUUUCUUCCCUCCCAUCCUCUCCACUCUUAUUUUUUCCUUCCUUCCCUUCCUCCUUUUCUCAUUCCCUCUCUCCCUUCCUCCAUUCUUUCUUCCCUCCUCCUUCCCUCCAUCUCUCACUUGCUCCCUUUUUCUUCCCUCCCAUCCUCUCCACUCUUAUUUUUUCCUUCCUUCCCCUCCCUCUUUAUUCAUUCCCUCCCUCCCUCCUUUCCUCCAUUCUUUCUUCCCUCCUUCCCUCCACCUUUCAUCCGCACCUCGUUAUGCAGUACAAUCUGGUCCUCUAAUUACAGGAAAGACAAUGGAGAGGGUUCACCGCCGCGCUACUAAGAUGAUCCCAGUCUAAAGUCACUCCGCCACCUCUUACCAAGCGUCUACUCCACUCUGAUUGGCGUUGCGACCUUAACGUGCGGACCAGACACCGAGGCUUGAUUGGAGAGUGAGUGUUUAUGGAAGCCGUCCCUCUCCUCCUUCCUCUCCUUCCCUCCUUUGACAUCGCCUCGCCUUCAUCAUCUUGCCCUGACGCGCCUAAUCAGCGAUCACAUGAAGCCGCCAUCAGUCAGACUCGCUACCAGAUGAGUGUCAGCACCCUUCUGGACCCUUCCCGCUCCCCGCUGCGUCUUCCCUGCCCUGUACCGACCUCUCCCAACGCUUGUAGAAAGGCCGUCGAUACCUUUUCUCUCUCUUAGCCACGUCCUUGCAUGGUUCUAGUUCUCGCUGAAGCUGAAGAAGGGAAAGAUCAGGUCCCUUUCCUCAGACGGUUUUGGCUCCCGUCUUCCCUGCCCUGUACCGACCUCUCCCAACGCCAACCUUUUCUUUUUUAGCCACGUCCUUGCAUGGUUCUAGUUCUCGUUGAGCUGAAGAAGGAAGGAAUACGGAACGGACUGCCUGGUUUCAUUAGGUCCCUUUUCUCAGACGGUUUUGGCUCCCAUCUUCCCUGCCCUGUACCGACCUCUCCCAACGCUUGAAGAAAGGCUGUCGAUACCUUCUCUCUCUUAGCCACGUCCUUGCAUGGUUCUAGUCCUCGUUGAAGCUGAAGAAGGGAAAGAUCAGGUCCCUUUUCUCAGACGGUUUUGGUUCUCACAACGACUAUUUACAAUGGCCACAAAGGAGAUUAGUCGGGUUCUCACAAGUGUCUUUCACGUUCAUGAUGCAGAAGCCUUGCCAAACUAUCUCUGGGGCCAAAAAACUACCCUUGGAAAUGAUACUAACACAACCUCUUCGAAAGCCUUAUCAAAUGUGGGUGUGUGAGCCCCGAAGUAUUUGAAAAUAUGAACCCCACUCACUAGGCUCACAAAACUACCCAUGGAAAUACUAACACAAUAACCGCAACGAAAGCCUUAUUAAACGUGGGCGUGUGAGCCUCGAGAUGUUUAAAGAUACUCUCACUAGGCUCACAAAACUACCCAUGGAAAUACUAACACAGCAACCCCAACCAAAGCCUUAUCAAAUGUGGGUGUGUGAACCUCGAAGUGUUUAAGAAUAUGGACACCUGACUCUCACUAGGCUCACAAAACAACACAUACUUAUAGAACAACCUCAACGAAAGCCUUAUUAAACGUGGGCAUGUGAGCCUCGAAGUGUUUAAGAAUAUGGACACCUGACUCGCUAGGCUCACAAAACUACCCAUGGCAAUACUAACACAACAACCUCAACUACAGCCUUAUCAAAUGUGGGUGUGUGGGCCUCGAAGUGUUUAAAAUUAUGGACACCUGACUCCCACUAGGCUCACAAAACUACCCAGGGAAAUACUAACACAAUAACCGCAACGAAAGCCUUAUUAGACGUGGGCAUGUGAGCCUCGGAGUGUUUAAAACCAUGGACACCUGACUCUCACUAGGCUCACAAAACAACACAUACUUAUACAACA